AGCGAACGCUGGCGGCAGGCCUAACACAUGCAAGUCGAACGGAUCCUUCGGGAUUAGUGGCGGACGGGUGAGUAACACGUGGGAACGUGCCCUUUGGUUCGGAACAACUCAGGGAAACUUGAGCUAAUACCGGAUGUGCCCUUCGGGGGAAAGAUUUAUCGCCAUUGGAGCGGCCCGCGUCUGAUUAGCUAGUUGGUGAGGUAACGGCCCACCAAGGCGACGAUCAGUAGCUGGUCUGAGAGGAUGAUCAGCCACACUGGGACUGAGACACGGCCCAGACUCCUACGGGAGGCAGCAGUGGGGAAUCUUGCGCAAUGGGCGAAAGCCUGACGCAGCCAUGCCGCGUGAAUGAUGAAGGUCUUAGGAUUGUAAAAUUCUUUCAGCGGGGACGAUAACGACGGUACCCGCAGAAGAAGCUCCGGCUAACUUCGUG
rnacentral:rRNA from 1 species